AAUAGAAACUAUAAGAUUUUUUUUUGUUAAAAUAAUUCGGCGGAAACUCCCUGCAAUACAAGGGGUGCAACUAAUUUUGUAAACAUAACAAAACUCCUAGAUUUGUUUCAAUUAAAGUUUGGCACGAAAACUACCUAAAGAUCUGCAUUGAUAAAACAAAAUAAAUUAACAAAACGUUUUGUUGAAUCGACUCCCCGUUCUUUUUCUGCGUGAACAAAUUGCCGGUCUGGUGGUCGACGGAGGGCAUCUAUUUCAGUGUACCUCCAUCCGGAUGUGGACCUCGAUCCAGGUGCUGCUCCAAUGGGAGGAGCCAGUGGAGCAGCUCCUGGUGCUAUUCCUACGAUACGAUGGUGGUUCCGUCGGUGGUCAGCGGAUGGACGGAGUAUAAGGCUCCGGACAAACGAACCUAGCAUGUCACCAAGCAAAGCUCAUGGGAAAAGCUGGACGAACUUUCACCAGCAGAAAAAUUGCAGUCCCCGUGUCUCUGGACGAAGUACCGGUCCGAUCAAGGUGAUACCAACCUCAAACGGUUUAGAUUAUCAAGUAUGAAGGAGCAAGAGUGGACGCUGGAGAGAAAGUAAAAAAUAGAUCCGGCAAGCUUCCUUUUGCCUCCUAUGCUCGGUACCAAACAAGCCACGGUAGAACAAAACGACACUAUCGAGUUCUUCUAAAGAUUCUUGACAGAAUUUGGAUACUGCCGUAAAAAUGAAACUUGGCGUAAGAUUCGACUCCACCUGACCGUCGCAAUAUCCUCGAAGGCUUGGCUGACCGGCUUAUUAACAGUUCCUAGACAAAAAAGAAACAACAAUAUAGCGAUAAAAAGGCUAAAUGAGUUGUGAAAAAUACUCACCGCACCGUAGAAAUUUUCGUUUAAAAAUUUCCAACCACAAUAUUUUCACUGCCCGGAUGAAUUGCGCGUAAACAAAUCUGCACACGAAUAAUUUAUUUUAGCUUUCAAGCCGAGAAGCGAUUACACUUAAAAUUGAAAAUAGGUUAAAAAAGCAAAAGCUUUCCAAUAUUCUUUUCGGUUUGGAUUAUCUUUUCACUAUGAAGUUCAAUGUAACAAUAAUAAUCAUAAAAUAAUUGUUGUUAUACCAUGUUUUUGACAUAUUCGGCAACUGUGAAACAUUAUGAAUUAACGAUAAAUUUCACGGUUACUUUUAAAACCAUGGUGGUUUCAAAAUUUUAGAAGGUUGAUAAAGAUCUUAAAAUAAGGAUGAAGUUUAUUGUUAAAUUGAAAAUCACUGUUCGGUUAUCUUAAUACCACGGUCUUUGCUAUUCGGGUUGAAAUCUGAGGUAGCUGAAAAACAUCAUUAAUGCCACCAUGACAUCAGCGGGAUCUACGUCAAUCACCGCCGAAUUGAUUUAAAUUUAGAUAUUUUUUAUAUGUAUAUGUUUGUAUGCGCAGUUUUGUAUUUUUCAAAAUGU